UACAGAGGGUGCAAACGUUGUUCGGAAUUACUGGGCGUAAAGCGCGCGUAGGCGGCUUUGCAAGCCGGAUGUGAAAUCCCCGGGCUUAACCUGGGAACUGCAUUCGGGACUGCAUUGCUAGAGUAUGGGAGAGGGAAGUGGAAUUUCAGGUGUAGCGGUGAAAUGCGUAGAUAUCUGAAGGAACAUCAGUGGCGAAAGCGACUUCCUGGACCAAUACUGACGCUCAUGUGCGAAAGCGUGGGGAGCAAACAGG
rnacentral:rRNA from 1 species